UGACGAGUUUGAUCCUGGCUCAGAUUGAACGCUGGCGGAAUGUUUUACACAUGCAAGUCGAACGGUAGAGGGGGCAACCCCUUGAGAGUGGCGAACGGGUGAGUAAUAUAUCGGAACGUGCCCAGUCGUGGGGGAUAACGUAGUGAAAAUUACGCUAAUACCGCAUACGACCUGAGGGUGAAAGCGGGGGACUCGCAAGAGCCUCGCGCGAUUGGAGCGGCCGAUGGCAGAUUAGGUAGUUGGUGAGGUAAAGGCUCACCAAGCCGAACGAUCUGUAGCUGGUCUGAGAGGACGACCAGCCACACUGGAACUGAGACACGGUCCAGACUCCGUACGGGAGCAGCAGU
rnacentral:rRNA from 1 species